GAGACAGAGGAAAUGAAAGGAAAGGAAAAGGUCUAUUGACGAUUUCUUCCAGAAGCGGGAAGAGGAGCUCUGGGACCCAUUUGGAGCAUCUCAGAAAUCACUUAGUGCAUCAUUCCACACAGCUGUGAUCAAUCUUCGAGCUGGGUAGUGGGUCUGCAUGGCACAGAGAUGAAUGUCUGCCCCUCUCUCCGUGUCCCGAUAACGGAUGUUUGUUCUAACCUGUUUGUUCUAGCCAGCUGAACAGAAGGCAUGUGCAACGCAGCCCAUAAGGACAUGGAUAUAAGAAACUUGUUGCUGAUUUGAAGAUUUGAAGUAGUAGAAUUGAAUACAUGGCUAAUGCUGUGUUGGACGACAUGUUGGGACACAUUCUUUUAGAACACAUAGAGCAUAAUUCUUCUCUGUGUAGUGUGGAGUAAGGUCUGGUGUUUGAGAGAGUGCUUUAGUCAUGCAUUUCAUACAAGCUCUGCCUCCGUUCAUUCCCCUUUUGUGGAUCAGAGACAAGGUAGAAGAUGUAAGCAAUAACUUGACUUGAGUUUCUAUCAUAUUUCUCUGACCUAUCCAAGUUCACAGGGGCGGGCGGCCUGUCCAUCUGGCAUUUUGGGCAAAUGCCAGAUGGGCUGGUCCAUUUUUAGCCCAGUAGGACUGUCUAACUUGUGCCCCUCAAGGUACAAAAUGGGCUGGUAUGGGGGCCUCAAAGAAAAAACAGAGUGGCUGCGGUUCUGGAUUUUCUGUAACCCGACAUGCUGUUGCUGAAAAUACGGAGAUUUCUGCAUAUGCGGGAUCCACGAGCCUACCUCCUUUCAGCUGCUGCUCAGUAAUAAUGGGAAGUUCUUACCGACUCAGAUCUUUUUGACUCAGUCAAAAGAAUGAAUCAAGCUCAUUCCAUUCAUUUGAUUCAGUAAUGCCCAGAGCAUGCAGGACCCCUACAGGCAAAUGAUGAACUAAAAGCUCGAAGGAAUCAUGAUUGCACAAG
rnacentral:lncRNA from 1 species